GAGACCUGUAUCUACAAUUGCCAGCAGGCCAUAAGGUGACUGGGCACAUUGUAGGGACUGCCUUGGAAACAAGGAGGAAGGUGCAGGCAACGGUAGGUCUGUAUGCUCCGAAUCUUCUGGGCUACACGCGCGCAACAAUGGUAGAGACAAUGGGAUACGACUCCGAAAGGGGAAGUUAAACCUCUAAACUCUAUCCAAGUCCAGAUCGAGGGUUGUAACUCACCCUCGUGACGUUGGAAUCCCUAGUAAUCGGACGUCAUCAGCGUCCGGUGAAUA
rnacentral:rRNA from 1 species